GCCGUCACGUGACUUAAGUCACGUGUCUGCAAGGGGUGAAUAAAACCAUCACCAUUACCCAAAUACAGCUCAGUUCUGUAAGUGUUUUUAUUGUUUUCUGAUGUUUUUAUGUUAGAAAGGGAAAUGUGUUUAAGAUUAUUCCCUAUCUUUUGACAUUUCGUGGAUUAUUUUACGGAAGCUAGCAACAGUGUUCCGUACAGUGCUCCCUGCCAUAGGGAAACGUUCAUUUCGUGGGUAACAGUAAUCUGUACAGUUAACCUUUUACGAUCAAAUGCAAUUAAUUAUUUCCAGGUCAAUAAAAACUAUAAAUACCUCUGACAACCUUGUCUUGUCCUCUUUGAUCUCUGACCGUGGAGAGUAUUUGUUGACCAGCGAACAAAGCAACUACCGAGUAAGUAUGUCAACACACAGCAUAUUUUAGCGAUACCGGAAGAAUAUUUAAAAAUGGCGCCGGGGGAGGGUUUAACCUUCGCCCUAAAUGACAUAGGGGAAGACUUUAAACAAGAUUUGUGAAAAUAUGUGGUAAAAUGUAUAUGUGUAACGUAUUGAGUUCCGGGGAUGACGUUGCGGGACAGGAAACCGUGGGCAACGCCAUUUUGGCAGCAUUCGGCAGAUUGGCAGACUGUGGUGGUGAAGAAGGCUAAACAUGGUAGAUAACUGUUGUGCACCAGGUUGCACAAAUAAACGAGGGAAAAAGAAAGGUUUGUCGUUUUACCGCAUUCCUAAAGAUGUGGAGAGGCGAGCUAGGUGGAUCAGUGCCAUUAAAAGAGCUAGGAGCAAGCAAAACAAGGCUGAAAGAUGAGACCCCCCAGCCGUUGGAUUCCGCUUGUGCAGCGAUCACUUCAUAUCAGGUAAGUUACCGAAUAUAAAGCUUACUAACAUAAGUAUCUUCAUUAUUUAAUAGGCUAUAAUUGUGGUUUCUGAUCAGUUUAAUACUAGCUAGUUGAAUUACAGCAUGCAAUUCGUGGGGCUAACAAUGUCAUAUUUUGUAAGCUAGUGCUAACGUAGUAAACAAAACCCAGUUCAAUACUGAAAUGUUUCUAUUUAUUUUUGUAGGGAGAAAGAGUGAUAAUCCCUUGAGUCCGGACUUUGUUCCAUCUAUUUUCAACUACGUGCCAUCUCCAGAGAAGAGGAAAAGAAAAAUGAGGUUUUCAACAGACGACAGAAAGCAAAGCUACAGAAGAUAGCUUUGUCUGCUCUAUCUGCAAAAAGCCAUCCCUCUCAGAGCAUCAACCGAUUGUCCCCAAGACGGCAACAAGGACCCUACUGCAGACCAAACUCCCACCACAGAGCCUUUUGAAUCUACCCAUGAAGAACCUGGAAAUGAUGUCCAGCCUGUUCUCCAUGAGGAUGAUCCAGCAACUCCACCAUGCAGCACUGAAACCUGCGGUAAACGCAUCCAAUCUCUUGAGCAAGAAUGCCAAGCUUUGAGGACUGAGAAUAUGUUGUUGAAAGAAAAAAUUAAUAGGACUACACUGAAUGAGAUGAGCUUGCAUAACGAUGAUAAAAGAGUUAAUACUCUCACUGGUUUAUCAACAUAUUCAAUUCUCAUGGCAAUUUUUCAUAUUGUGGCUCCUUUUCUCAAACUUAAAUCUGGUUUAACAUGUUUUCAGCAGUACAUGUUAACUUUAAUAAAGCUCAGAAUGAACUUG